GAGAGGAUAGCUUAAGCAAAGCGUUUGAUUGUUAAUCAAAAGUUACAAAAACCUACUUUGAGCCUCUCU
rnacentral:tRNA from 1 species